GUGCAGCAGGCGAGAAUACUUUACAAUGUGCGAAAGCACGAUAAGGGAACUCUGAGUGCCUCCUAAGGAGGCUGUUCUGAUGUCUAAAAAGCAACAGAAGUAAGGGCUGGGUAAGACCGGUGCCAGCCGCCGCGGUAACACCGGCAGCCCAAGUGGUAGCCGCGUUUAUUGGGUCUAAAGCGUUCGUAGCCGGCCAGGUAAGUUCCUUGGUAAAUUUAGCCGCUUAACGGUUAAGCUUUCAGGGAAUAUUGCUUGGCUUGGGACUGGGAGAGGUCAGAGGUACUCCGGGGGUAGGGGUGAAAUCUAUUAAUCCCUGGGGGACCACCGGUAGCGAAGGCGUCUGACCAGACCAGGUCCGACGGUGAGGGACGAAGGCUAGGGGCGCGAACCGGAUUAGAUACCCC
rnacentral:rRNA from 1 species